GCCGGAGUGGCGGAAUUGGCAGACGCACAGGACUUAAAAUCCUGCGUUCCCUAAAGAACGUACCAGUUCAAGUCUGGUCUUCGGUACCA
rnacentral:tRNA from 1 species